rnacentral:rRNA from 1 species
UACGGUAGGGGGCAAGCGUUGUCCGGAUUCAUUGGGCGUAAAGAGCGUGUAGGCGGCCAGGUAGGUCGGUUGUGAAAACUGGAGGCUCAACCUUCAGACGUCGACCGAAACCAUCUGGCUAGAGUCCGGGAGAGGAGAGUGGAAUUCCUGGUGUAGCGGUGAAAUGCGCAGAUAUCAGGAAGAACACCCGUGGCGAAAGCGGCUCUCUGGAACGGUACUGACGCUGAGGCACGAAAGCGUGGGGAGCAAACAGG